rnacentral:misc_RNA from 1 species
GAAAUGCGAUAAGUAAUGUGAAUUGCAGAAUUCAGUGAAUCAUCGAAUCUUUGAACGCACCUUGCGCUCCUUGGUAUUCCUUGGAGCAUGCCUGUUUGAGUAUCAUGAAAUCUUCAAAGUAAAUCUUUUGUUAACUCAAUUGGUUUCUACUUUGGUAUUGGAGGUCUUUGCAGCUUCACACCUGCUCCUCUUUGUUCAUUAGCUGGAUCUCAGUGUUAUGCUUGGUUCCACUCGGCGUGAUAAGUUAUCUAUCGCUGAGGACACUGUAAAAGGUGGCCAAGGUAAAUGCAGAUGAACCGCUUCUAAUAGUCCAUUGACUUGGACAAUACUUUUAUGAUCUGAUCUCACAUCAGGUAGGACUACCCGCUCAACUUAAGC